AUUAUCUUGGCAGAAUUAAGUGUUUUAAAUUUAGAAUUUAAUUAUAUUAUUAAAAAUAAUAGAUAAUA
rnacentral:tRNA from 1 species